AGCUCCAAUAGCGUAUAUUAAAGUUGUUGCAGUUAAAAAGCUCGUAGUUGAACUUCUGCGUAUGCCCGGUUCUGGCUUCGGUCAAGCCGUGGUGUGCGCAUCCGCUUGCAAACCUAGUCCGGCCUUCACUGGUCGACUAGGGGAGUAGGCUUUUUACUUUGAAAAAAUUAGAGUGUUUCAAGCAGGCAAUGGCUCGAAUACAUUAGCAUGGAAUAAUGGAAUAGGACUUUUGUCCAUUUGGUUGGUUAUUGGACAUGAGUAAUGAUUAACAGGGACAGUUGGGGGCAUUAGUAUUUAAUUGUCAGAGGUGAAAUUCUUGGAUUUAUUAAAGACUAACUUAUGCGAAAGCAUUUGCCAAGGAUGUUUUCA
rnacentral:rRNA from 1 species